UUGAGUCAUGACUCUGUGAUACAGAAUUUUAACUCACAAAUAAAUUUUGUGUUUACCAUCAAUCGUGUAUUUUGUUCUUAUUUGCCCCUCCACGGCCGGUGUGAGGCCUAGCAUUUUGGGGUCUGAUUGUCUGGAUUUCAUCUUGUGUCUGUAGCAGUGUGCUGAAAAAGAUAUCUCAUGACAAUGGCGUUGAAAGGUGGCCAUAUUGCAAGUUUCCAUCCGGUAAGGAGUGUUGAAGUAAUCCAAAAAGAAGCUGUGAAAGAAAGAAACAAAUUGUUAGCUGAGUUGUCAUAAGCUGCCAGAAAAAAGGAUGAUGCUUCAGCAAGUUUGGUAGAGUCAUCAAUUUCUGGCUCUCAGCUACAAAGCAAAACCUUAGGUUCCAUGCAGAACACACCCAAGGUAGGAGGGGCUUCAACACCAGCUCAUAUUUUGCAGCAGCAAGGACAGUUCCAGAAUAUGCUGAACUCAAGCUUACCAAAGGGCAUUCUGGAUUAUGAGGAUGAAUUUAAAAAUGGAUUCCCAACGGAGGGCUUAGCAACAAUCUCUCUGAGAUGGUGGGGGAGCAACAGUCCUGAUGCUACUGAGGAUGAUGAUUUUGGAGAUGAAGCCCCAACUGGCGAAGAAGACAAGCAACAGUCCUCAGAAACAGCUGGUGAUUGCUCAGAACCAGAGGGUGAGAAACCUGACCAAGGAAAUGAGGAAAGUGAUAUUGGUGCCCAAGGGUCAGCUUUGCUGUUAUCUGUGAGAAAGAGAGCUGCAGAGGAAGGACGAGAAUCUCUAAAGCAUGGUGAGUGCCGGGGCUAUGGGGUGUAUGAGCUAGGGAGGAGAAAGAAAAUGUUGCUUCAAAAAAUUUUUCAAUCUUCCUUGCCAAUGCAAUGGACUAAGUGCUUUGAGCCUUAGUAUUGGAUCGAUGAUCAUUUUAAGCUCCAUAUUAUCCGGUUGAGACUUCAAAAUGAGAUCAUCUAGUGCUUCACCUACUCCAUUCAAUGUUCAAUCUUCAUUUGUGAAUCAGUAUGCAGGAAAAAAUAAUGUCUCCCA